GAGUUUGAUCAUGGCUCAGAACGAACGCUGGCGGCGCGUCUUAAGCAUGCAAGUCGAACGGCAAGAGAGGAGCUUGCUUCUCUCCUAGAGUGGCGGACUGGUGAGGAACACGUGGGUAGUCUACCCUUAAGAUGGGGAUAGCUGCUAGAAAUAGCAGAUAAUACCGAAUACACUCGAUAUUUCAUAAGAGAUUUUGAGGAAAGGAAGCUNCGGCUUCGCUUAAGGAUGAGCUUGCGUCCCAUUAGCUUGUUGGUGAGGUAACGNCCCACCAAGGCGACGAUGGGUAUCCGNCCUGAGAGGGUGAUCGGACACAUUGGGACUGAGAUACGGCCCAAACUCCUACGGGAGGCAGCAGCUAAGAAUAUUCCGCAAUNGACGGAAGUCUGANCGGAGCGACGCCGCGNGGAUGAACGAAGGCUGAAAAGUUGUAAAAUCCUUCUUGUUGAUGAAGAAUAAGGGGAAGAGGGAAUGCU
rnacentral:rRNA from 1 species